GGAGAGAUGGAUGAGUGGUCUAAGUCGCACGCCUGGAAAGCGUGUGUGGGAUAACACCCACCGCGGGUUCGAAUCCCGCUCUCUCCGCCA
rnacentral:tRNA from 1 species